GGCUGGCCUUGAACUCACAGAGAUCUGCCUGCCUCUGCCUCCAAGUGCUGGGAUUAAAGGCGAGCGCCACCACUGCCCAGUCCUCCCUCCUUUCCCUUUCUGUCUGUCUUUCUACUUCAGAGUAUUGACACAGGUGUUCAGAGGAUGCAGCCCAUGAAACUCCUCAGCCUGCUUUCUACCUCCCGCAGCCCCCGCCAGCCAGCGUCUGUCGAGCACACAUCUCCCCAGGGGCUGGAGUCCUGGAUAGCUACAGAUGUCUCAGCUGCGGACUUUCUAAAGGGUCACAGCUGGGUUCUCAGAGAACCUCCAGUCUGUUUUUCUGAAAAUGCACUCCAUCCUGGGGAUGUGAUCUGACCUAAGGGCACUGAUGUCUCCAACCUCUGGGAAUCCCUCCUGCUCCAGGAUUGCACCCCACCUGAGUAGCCCCAGAAGUCACAGCUUGGAGGCCCAGGGGUGUCACAGGUGAGGAGACUCACUAGGAAACCUCCCCCAGGUACUCAGCCCUCACCACGGGCCUUUCUCUGUCAUCUGUAAGACAAGCCUACUGUGUAUUUUUAUAUGGGAAACCAAGUCCCACGUGGGGGAGGUGCUGUGUAGGUGUCGUGUACUUCUGUGGGUUGCCCUGGGUCCUCAGCUACUGUGUGGGGCAUACAGACAGACUAUGGGUUCCAUGAAAGCAGACACAGCAAACUGCUCUGUUGCCCCAGUGUUCGCCGCUGGGUGGGUGUGAGAGCACAUCCCUACACGGUUACAGGAGGACCUGCAGGGAAGGGUAAAUGGAGGCAGAGGGCUGAGCUCCUCCCUCCCCUGGCUCCCAUGGGGAGCAUACAGCCUGUGUCAGGCUGGCAGUAAAUAUCUUACAUGCAGUUUCUUCCCAUGUACAGAGUCAUGCUAACCCUGUGGGGACAUGCACAUACACACAGACUUAUGGAUAAAAGUUGUUUUCACGACUAAGGAAAAGUCCUUGGGACAUUACUGUAGAAGGGAGAGAGGAAGCGGGAGAGAGGACUGGAAUGUGCCCAGCUCCGAGGCAGGCAAGUCAGGGUCACACUCACUCACUCAUGCAACCUGCACAAGAGGCGGAGGGUCUCCUCUUUGUUGGGUUUGUCUCUAGAUCUCACAGGAAAGGAGAGUAGGGGACACAGCUGAGAGCAGGACACUGACUCCUCAGUCACAGCCACCGGACUCUGGGAUACUCACAUCUUAGCAGGGAGGGAGGCAGAGACGAUGCAUGCAAACACAUCCACACAGUGUCAUGUCCAGCGCCACAGAGGCUAUUCAACUAGGGCAGUGAGGGGAGGCUGCCCAGGGCAGGUGGUCAUGAUGAACGGAGGCAUAGCCAGUCUUCCGAGUCUCAGAAUGUCUUACCUGCUCUUCCUCCUCCCGCAGGCUGGGCAGGGUGCUGACCGACAGGUUGACGGCAGUGACGGUGACAAAUAGAACGGACAGGCAGGCAAACACUUUGCCAGGCAGCCCUGAAUGUGGCCUCUCCACCAUGUCCCGCAGCUUCCUCAUACAGCGGCCCAGGCGGCCCUCACUGGUGGACGGACUCUCAGCGUCCUGGUCUUCGCUAUCCAGCGGCUCCUCCUCGUCCUCCCUCUCCAUCAUCUCCGCAAACUCCUCAAUUUUCUGCAGGUAUCGGCGCUUGCAGCAGCCGUCCAGGUGGUCCUCAGCGAUGCCCCAGUACAGCAGCUCCUCCUGGAAGGACAGGGCGCACAUCUCCCGGAGCAGCCGCAGCUUGCCGGCUCGCAGGAAGGUGAGGAUGGUGCCGAAGGCUCCGGGGUUUCGGUCAAAGAAGAACUCGUUGCAGGUCACAUCAUAGUCAUCACACACACUCAGGAUGUCGUCGAAGUUGGUGCAGGCUUUGAGCUGGCCCAGCCGUGUCAGUGGGAACUCAUCCAGCGUGGUCCAAGGGAGUGAGUACUUGAUGCCACCCACAUUGAUGAUGAUCUGUCGCCUGCGGUCCCCAAGUGAGCUGCCCUGGAGCAGGUCGUCCUGCGGUCGCAACCGCUGGGCCCUGCGGUAGAAGACACCCUUGAUGGCCUGGGGCUGUGGGAAAAAGGCUGGGAGGAAGGCGGCCUCGGAGGCACAGCUCAGGGCGCUGUAGUCAUAGUCCGAGUUGUCUCCUGGUAACAGGGUCAUUUUGGGACUUCACAUCCCUCUUGGGCCUGGGGAGGAGAAGGUGGAGAGACCCUGGUGAACCCUAAGCCUUAGCUGAGUCCCUCACUGACUGUGGAUUCUAAAGACACUUCCUUGGUCUGGGUCCCAAAGGCCACAGGUUGAAACCCUUGAUUUUUCGAAAUAGAAUAUGUAUUUUUAUUUAAAAAUUCUACUGUGGGUUUUCAAUAUUUUUAUUUAUGUAUAUGUGCCUACUUGUCUGUACAUAUGGCAUGUGUGAAGGUGCCUAAGGAGGCCAGAAGAGGGUGUUAGGUUCCCUGGAAAUGGAGUUAUAGGUGGUUGUAAAUUGUCAUGUAGGUGUUGCUGAUUGAAUCUUGGUCCUCUGCAAGAGAAACCAGUGCUCUUAUGCACCGAGCUAUCAUUCUAGACCCCCACAUACAUGUUAUAUAUAAUAUACUUACAAAUUACAUACAACAUAUAAAAACUUACUGUUGUGGUGGGGUGUAUGUAGAUGCCAGAGGACAGCUUUGUGAACUUGUAGUAGUGGCCACAUGCAUGUACGUGAGUGCCUGGUAUAGGUAUAGGUGUGAGAUCCCCUAAAACUGGAGUUACAGAUGGUUAUGAGCUGCCGUGUGGAUACUGGGAAUUGAAUCCAGGCUUCAGGUACAGAUGUGACCCCUUUAAGGGAGAGGAAAAACAUGGGCUAUGAAUGUGACUCGGUGAAUAAGACUACUUGCUUUGCAAGCAUGAAGACCUGAGUUCAAAUCCCACCUGCCAUAUAAAAAGCCAGACAUAGAAUGUGCCUAUAGCUCUCUCUCUCUCUCUCUCUCUCUCUCUCUCUCUCUCUCUCUCUCUGUGCGUGUGUGUGGUGUAUGCAUGUAUGUACACACGCAUAGGUAUAUGUACCGUAAUGUGCAGGUGUGUUCAGAGUGUGGAGGUCAGAGGUUAACCUUGGGUGUCAUUUCUCAGGAGCUAUCCAUCUUUUCUUUUCUUUUUUUUUUUUGAGAUGGAACUUCACUGGGACGAUGUGGGACUUACUGUUUCUAAGCCAGGCUAGCUGACCGGUCCCGGUGUCUGCCUGUCUCCACCUUCCCAGUGCUGGAAUUACAGUCACAUGCCUCUGCAGUCUCUGCCUUUCUCAUGCUCUUUGCAACCCAAGAGAGAGCUACCUACCCAGCAGCUCCUUUCCCUUAAAGGGGUCACUUCUGCACCUGGGAUUAAAGGCGUGUACCACGAA